UACCUGCAGCUCAAGUGGUGGCCGCUAUUAUUGGGCCUAAAACGUCCGUAGCCUGUUUGGUAAAUGCCUGGGUAAAUCGUGUCGCUUAACGAUACGAAUUCCGGGUAGACUGCCAGGCUUGAGACCGGGAGAGGCUAGAGGUACUCCUGGGGUAGAGGUGAAAUUCUGUAAUCCUAGGGGGACCACCAGUGGCGAAAGCGUCUGGCCAGAACGGGUCUGACGGUGAGGGACGAAGCCCUGGGGCGCGAACCGGAUUAGAUACCCGGGUAGUCCAGGGUGUAAACGCUGCUCGCUUGAUGUUAGCCAGGCUCCGAGCCUAGCUAGUGUCGGAGAGAAGUUGUUAAGCGAGCUGCCUGGGAAGUACGGUCGCAAGACUAGAAACUUAAAGGAAUUGGCGGGGGAGCACAGCAACGGGUGGAGCGUGCGGUUU
rnacentral:rRNA from 1 species